UACGUAGGGCGCAAGCGUUGUCCGGAAUUAUUGGGCGUAAAGAGCUCGUAGGCGGUUUGUCGCGUCUGCUGUGAAAACCUGAGGCUCAACCUCGGGCUUGCAGUGGGUACGGGCAGACUAGAGUGCGGUAGGGGAGACUGGAAUUCCUGGUGUAGCGGUGAAAUGCGCAGAUAUCAGGAGGAACACCGGUGGCGAAGGCGGGUCUCUGGGCCGUAACUGACGCUGAGGAGCGAAAGCAUGGGGAGCGAACAGG
rnacentral:rRNA from 1 species